AAAAUUUCAAUAUCUAUUAUGCACUUGUAAAAUAUAAAAAAAAAUGUAAAUAAAUAUCAAUAAAACAAAACAAACAAAACAAGCAAUAUACAAUAAGGGGAGGGGGUGGGAGGAGAUGUCAUCCUGUUUUCCAUAAAAAAAAAAGUAUCUAGCAUUUUCCCUCAGAUCCGAAAAAAAAUCAUCAAUUUCUAAGUUCGAUAUGCUUAAAUCCUGAUUACCUCAAAAUCAAAGGCCCAUUCCCCAAUUCCUGCAACAAUAUAGGUCUGAUCCCAAUGUCCUGAAAAAAGUGUUUUGGUCCCUCUACAAUGUAUCAGAAAAAUAACAAGUUAAACCCAUGGAUGAGUAAUAGUUAUCAAAUACAAAAAAAUACACACAUUACUAUAUAAAUAGCCUCAGACAAAUAUACAGUAAAACAAAAGAGAAAAAACUACUUCUGGCUUAAAUGUUUGCUAUUCUAUGGGCUGUCAUAAACUUUUACUACAAGCGGACCAUGGGCUAUUAUUCCAUUUAAUAUAUUAAUUAGAUAAACUAGAAAAAGAAACACAAAUUAUAUCAUUAAACAACAAUACAUGGUUCAAGUACAAAAAAA
rnacentral:lncRNA from 1 species